ACUGUUUUUAUACGACCGCAAAAAAAUUUUGUGGUCGUAUAUUGGUAUGACAUUGGCGUCGUCGUCGUCCGGCGUCGUCGUCCGAAUACAUAUUGGUUUUCGCACUCUAACUUUAGUUUAAGUGAAUGGAUCUUUUUGAAAUUUGACCAUAAGGUUAAAUACCACAAAAGGAAGGCUGGGAUUGAUUUUGGGGGUUAUGGUACCAACAGUUAAGGAAUUAGGGGCCAAAAAGGGGCCAAAAAUGAGCAUUUUCUAGUUUCCAGACAAUAACUGUGGAACGGUGUAUGGAUCUCUCUGAAAUUAUACUACAAGUUUCCAUACCACAAAGGGAUGGUUAGGAUUUGCUUUGGGGGGUUAUGGCUCAAACCGUUUAGGAAUUAGGGGCAAAAAAGGGGGAAAAACAAGGUUGUCCUGGUUAAUGGACAAAUACUUUAGUACAAAACAUAAUUUAAAGCAGUGUAAGGGAGAUAAAUCAAAUACAUCAUUGAAAUUAUCUCCCUUACACUGCUUUUAAAUUAUGUAUAAAGUAAUGGUUAAUGAACAAUAAAGAUAAUCUAAAACAGUGUAAGGGAGGUAAUCCAAAUACUACGUUUUGGUUACUUCCCUUACACUGCUUUUAAAUUAUGUUUAAAGAAAUGCAUAUUUAUAAAGGAAGACCAGUAAAAAUAUCUGCAAAUGUUUUCAUCUUUUUUUUUUACAAAAAAAUCCAUAUGAAAGAUUUGACACUAUAUUUUUAUUAAUUCUAUUAUAAAAUAGAUUAAGUUAGCACUGUGGUAAAUUUAAAUGGGUAAUUAUGGUUGCCAACUCCAUUGGAAAUUUGAAUUGAGAUUAUGACCAUAUCUUGAGGGAAAGAAUUUUUUUGGGGGAAAAAGGGGGGGGGGGAUAAAAAGAAAUUGUGGGGGGCCAAUUUUUUCUCAUUUCAGAUUUCAGAAAUUAAAAAGAAUUAUUCUUCAAAUAUUAUUUUUUUUUCAAAUUUCAAAUAUUGAAAAAUUUCAAGAAGUAAUCUUUAAUUGCACAGUAUGGCGCAUUAGAUUUGUAAAAUCUUUGAUCACAUUUAUUUAUUUGUUAUGCCGAAUCUAACAGUGUAUUUAGAUUUUUAAUUUUGGGUCCAGUUUUCAAAUUGGUCUACAUUAAGGUCCAAAGGGUCCAAAAUUAAACUUUUUUUGAUUUUAGCAAAAAUUGAAUAUAUGAGGUUCUUUGAUAUGCUGAAUCUAAACAUGUAUUUAGAUUUUUGAUUUUUGGCCCAGUUUUCAAGUUGGUCCAAAUUGGGGUCCAAAAUUAAACUUUGUUUGAUUACAACAAAAAUUGAAUAUAUGGGGUUCUUUGAUAUGCUGAAUCUAACCAUGUAUUUAGAUUUUUUAUUUGUGGACCCCGUUAUCUAAUUGGUUCAUAUUGAGGUCAAAAGGGUCCAAAAUUAAACUUUGUUUGAUUUCAUCUAAAAUUGAAUUAUUGGGGUUCUUUGAUAUUCCAAAUCUAACCGUGUAUUUAGAUUUUUAAUUUUAAGUCCCGUUUUUUAAAUUGGUCUACAUUAAGGUCCAAAGGGUCCAAAAUUAAACUUAGUUUGAUUUUAGCAAAAAUUGAAUUCUUGGGGUUCUUUGAUAUGCUGAAUCUAAACAUGUGUUUAGAUUUUUGAUUAUGGGCCCAGUUUUCAAGUUUGUCCAAGUUGGGGUCCAAAAUUAAACUUUGUUUGAUUUUAACAAAAAUUGAAUAUAUGGGGUUCUUUGAUAUGCUGAAUCUAACCAUGUAUUUUGAUUUUGGACAUUGGACCAUAAUAGGUAAAUUAAAAAAAUUCAAGUUCUUAGACCACAUUCUUUCUGUGUCAGAAACCUAUGCUGUGUCAAAUAUUUAAUAACAAUCAAAAUUCAGAGCUGUAUCAAGCUUGAAUGUUGUGUCCAUACUUGCCCCAACUGUUCAGGGUUCGACCUCUGCGGUCGUAUCAAGCUGCGCCCCAGCGAAGCAUUUUAUUCCUCCAUGGACAUUUAGGUUUUCUUUCAAUAAAUUUUAUUCAACUUCAUAAUUGAUUUGGUCUUCCAACGGUUUUAACUGAGCCCCAAUUAAUUAUUUUUUGAAAUGCAUGUCUGAUGUACUGAAUUGUAUAUGGUACUUUGUAUCAUUAAUGACUUUUCAUUCUUUUCCAUAUGAAAUCAUAACACUUUUUUUAUUAAGACUUUCUGUCAAGAAGGAAGCUGUAACGGGAAGUAUUAGACAGCAUUUUGGACUGUGUUCAUAAUCUUUAUUUAAGAUAGCCCAGAUAUCUUUUUAUAAAUUGUACUAAUUUUGAGGUAUGUAAUUUAGCAUGACUUUCUCACAUGGUCUUGGUCCCGUAAAGAGUUAAUGGACAGGCAACUUUAUCACUUUAUAUUAGAUCUGUAAAGAGUUAAUUAAUAACCAAUAAUAACCAAUUGUAUUGGCAACUUUAGCAAUUUGUGUUGGCUAUGUAAAAUGUUUAUGGACAAGCAUAUUUAGCAUAUUGUGUUGGCCCUGUAAAGAGUUAAUGGAUAGGCAACUUUGGCAAAUUGUGUUUGCCUUGUAAAGAGUUAUUGGAUAGGCAACUUUAAGUAGAUAAACGAUUGACAUGUUAUCUUAUGGUGUGCAGGAGCAAAUGCAGCUCAGAUUUAUACUUUUGUCUCUGAUUUUGGUUUGUUUGACAGAAUGGUAAAGAUACAAAGAGCAGUUACCCUUUUCGAGGAACUAACUAACUAAAAUAAAAGAUGGACAGAGUGAUAUUAUAAGUUUCCUUUUGUCUGGUUUCUGAAAAAAUAUGCAAUUGUUUUCAUUUUACCCCUACCACUUUCCUUGUAGCAAUAUGUGGAGGUAUUAUAAUUUAGCAUAUUCAUCAAUAUUUUGUCUGUCUAAAGGAUCAUAAUUUCUGAACUGAUCUUUGGCAAAUUUUUCUCCAUAGCUAGUUUUGCAUUGCAUUCUGUAUUUAUGCUUUCAUAGCAGGUAAGGUAUCUAUCCAUGAAAUAAUAAAAACAGCAAAUUCUUCUGCUUCUGCUUGAACAUUGUAACAUUAUGUAUAGUGUUGGACUGCAAGUGGUCAUUCUGAAAUUUAUCAAUAUGAAGAAAGAUAAGUUAUGCAGUAGUUGACCAUGAGAAGAAAUUUGAAGAAACUUUUAUGUUUAGCAUAAUGUUUUAACUAGCAAGAUCCAUGCCUGUCCAUAAAACUGUAAAUUCAGAAAUUAUUGAAUGCGUUUAUAAUUGCUAUUUUUGAAGAAUGGACAAAAAUGUGAGAUUAUAUAUUGUGACUUCAGGAAAAUCUGCAUACAGAUAUAUGUAUUAGAUAUCAGAAUGUGAGUUAUUAUUGUCUAGUCGCAUUAUUCCAUUAAUAAAAAAUUUCACAAUA